ACCACUGUUGCCUCGGUGGCUGGUGCUGUCUCUCGGGACGGUGCCACCGCCGGUGGACUACCUAAACUCUGUUAAUUUUUGUCAAUCUGAAUCAAACUAAGAAAUAAGUUAAAACUUUCAACAACGGAUCUCUUGGUUCUGGCAUCGAUGAAGAACGCAGCGAAAUGCGAUAAGUAAUGUGAAUUGCAGAAUUCAGUGAAUCAUCGAAUCUUUGAACGCACAUUGCGCCCAUUAGUAUUCUAGUGGGCAUGCCUGUUCGAGCGUCAUUUCAACCCUUAAGCCUAGCUUAGUGUUGGGAGACUGCCUAAUACGCAGCUCCUCAAAACCAGUGGCGGAGUCGGUUCGUGCUCUGAGCGUAGUAAUUUUUAUCUCGCUUCUGCAAGCCGGACUGGCAACAGCCAUAAACCGCACCCUUCGGGGCACUUUUAAUGAUGACUCGGAUCAGUAGAUACCC
rnacentral:rRNA from 1 species